rnacentral:lncRNA from 1 species
GUUGAGGUUUGCUAGCAAACAAAACUCUAACAAAGAACGCUGUUUAUUUUUUCUUUUCUUUUCUUGAGAUAGAUAUUUUUUAUUUUAAGUUCUGGGAUACAUGUGCAGAACGUGCAGGUUUGCUACAUAGAUACACAUGUGCCAUGGUGGUUCGCUGCACCUAUCAACCCAUCAUCUAGGUUUUAAGCCCUGUUUUGAUUUGAAUAUUAUUCAAUACAAGUGAAUAUUGAAAUGUGGACAUUUAUGCUAAGAACAGCUUCUGGAAUUAUACAUUUGCCUUGUAUUCUUACCAAUUGUAAGAUGGAUAAACAAGCAGAAAUUCAAAAUGACAGAAUUAUAUUUCUUUGCAUCUGGAUUUUAUUCUGUUCCUGGUCCAAGUUUCAAGAUUGUCAAGAAUGACAAGUUGGACUUGGUCUAGUUACUUCCACAGCAGCAGGAGGAACAUGUGUGUGACUCAGGAUAACUGGGGAAGCCUUGGCUAGGCUUUCCUCAUGUCAACCUACCACUCAAAGGGAGAAAACCUCCUGAUCAGAGGAAAUCCAUAAUUUUUGAAUGCUGGCCGAGGUCUGUGACCUCUGACUGAAUGGUUUCCAAGCUCUGAAUUCCUAGGUAUAACACUUGCUGAAGAAAGGAAAAGCUCUCUGAUUUAGGUGUAAGCAAAACAAUCUAAACAGUAGGAUAAAAUCGUGUUGGAGUGGAGUUCUGUGUGAGCGCUGUCUUUGAACCAAAUCAGUUCCACAACUGACCCUGUCAGGGACAUAUAAAUUUAGCAUUUCGGUGUGGAUACAGAAGACGAGAUUAACACAGAUCAAGUAACAUGGAAAUAAAAAAGGAGACAAUGCUGGAUGAUACGGGGGCAGC